rnacentral:rRNA from 2 species
GAUAAAGCGGGUGAAAAGCCCGCUCGCCGGAAGACCAAGGGUUCCUGUCCAACGUUAAUCGGGGCAGGGUGAGUCGACCCCUAAGGCGAGGCCGAAAGGCGUAGUCGAUGGGAAACGGGUUAAUAUUCCCGUACUUGGUGUUACUGCGAAGGGGGGACGGAGAAGGCUAUGUUGGCCGGGCGACGGUUGUCCCGGUUUAAGCGUGUAGGUGUGUGUUCCAGGUAAAUCCGGUUCACUUUAACACUGAGGCGUGAUGACGAGGCACUACGGUGCUGAAGCAACAAAUGCCCUGCUUCCAGGAAAAGCCUCUAAGCAUCAGGUAACAUCAAAUCGUACCCCAAACCGACACAGGUGGUCAGGUAGAGAAUACCAAGGCGCUUGAGAGAACUCGGGUGAAGGAACUAGGCAAAAUGGUGCCGUAACUUCGGGAGAAGGCACGCUGACAC